UUAAAAGUCAAAUUUAAGUUUUUGUUUUGAUUUCAGUGUUCUACCACACACUGACAAGGAAGCAUACAAACCAACUGCACGUUACAUGCAAAUGCCUUUUGAUGCACAUGUCUUCUGUGCAUCAUCAACUUGUCAGAUGGAUAACAGUCAGUCACAUAGAACUCCCUUGUACAACCCCUUCCAGCUGGUGAGCAGGCAACAGCUCCCUGUGCUCCACUGAAGAAGUGACCUGCCAGCAAGCAGUAAUGUCUGAAGAGAAUAAUUUUGUGCAAUUCACAGAAAACCUUUAGGCAUAACGCUGGUAAGCAGAAGCACUACAUUUUAAUAUAUUUUGAAAUAAAAAUGUAAGCAACAUGUUUGUGUACUGCAUUUAACAUUUCUCAUCAAGCAGUCGUACCAAACCAGAUAUUGUAUUUUCAUGAAAAUACACAAAAAAGAUCUAAAGCUCAAGGAGUUUCAAUGCUACAUAAGAAAACAAUAUAUUUAAGGAA